rnacentral:rRNA from 1 species
AUUGAACGCUGGCGGCAUGCCUUACACAUGCAAGUCGAACGGUAACGCGGGGCAACCUGGCGACGAGUGGCGAACGGGUGAGUAAUGCAUCGGAGCGUGCCCAGUAGUGGGGGAUAGCCCGGCGAAAGCCGGAUUAAUACCGCAUACGACCUAAGGGUGAAAGCGGGGGAUCGCAAGACCUCGCGCUAUUGGAGCGGCCGAUGUCGGAUUAGCUAGGUGGUGGGGUAAAGGCCUACCGAGGCAACGAUCCGUAGCUGGUCUGAGAGGACGACCAGCCACACUGGGACUGAGACACGGCCCAGACUCCUACGGGAGGCAGCAGUGGGGAAUUUUGGACAAUGGGCGCAAGCCUGAUCCAACCAUGCCGCGUGCGGGAAGAAGGCCUUCGGGUUGUAAACCGCUUUUGUCAGGGAAGAAACGGUCUGAGUUAAUACCUCGGGCUAAUGACGGUACCUGAAGAAUAAGCACCGGCUAACUACGUGCCAGCCGCCGCGGUAA